GGACUACUGGGGUAUCUAAUCCUGUUUGCUCCCCAUGCUUUCGCGUCUGAGCGUCAGAAGUGAACCAGAGAGCCGCCUUCGCCACUGAUGUUCCUCAUGAUAUCUACGGAUUUCACCCCUACACCAUGAAUUCCACUCUCCUCUUUCACCCUCUAGUUUCCCAGUAUCCAAUGCACUUCCGGGGUUAAGCCCCGGGCUUUCACAUCAGACUUAAGAAACCGCCUACUCGCGCUUUACGCCCAAUGAUUCCGAACAACGCUUGCACCCUCUGUAUUACCGCGGCUGCUGGCAC
rnacentral:rRNA from 1 species